rnacentral:lncRNA from 1 species
AAAAGUUAAACAUAACAAGUCAUAAAAGAGAAACGUAACCGUUUGAUUCAUAAUUAACGGCACUACCAUAGAGUUAACAUGAACUUGUUGGCUUAUAAUGAUUGUGGUGCCAAAAAUUGAGUUAGACCAAAAAGGAUGGAAACUCAAAAUGUAUUGUGAAAUUCUACCCAAAAAUAUUGCCAUUCGACCCCUUCCUACUUCUACUAGUAAACUACUAAACAUCAAAUGAAAAGAUAACAAAGAAAACUACUACUACCAUUUACACCGUAGGCCAAGACCUACUUUGAAUCUUCUUUUUCUCCAUCUUCAUCACUCUCUUCUUCUUCAUCUUCUUCAUCUUCACUCUCUUCUUCUUCAUCACUCUUUUCUUUCAUGUAUUUAGUCCUUGACUGUUGUUCCGUCACCUUGAUACAAAACGCCAUCUGUUUUUCCAAUUUGUUUUGUUUCCCAAUUAUCUUUUUCAUGAAGUCUAGCAUCUUGUCUUUUCAGGAUUAUCGUUUGGGUUAAGAAGGCGCUGUGGAAGUAAAGGCGACUCCAAGAUUUAUGGUAGGAUCAGUGCAGGAGUACAGGACAUAGCCUUGCUUUUGUGAACUGAUGCUAGAGUAAUUAGCUCCACGGGUGGUUAGAUCAUGAUAUCAUUUCUGAAGGGAACUCCGUUGGAAGCACAUAAUGAUGUUACCAUUGCCACAAAUGGAAGAUCAACCCUUAGGGAGAUUUUUCUUUGAAGGCCACCAUCUCAGUCAAAAUGUAUUGGGCAAUGUCAAUCAUAACUGAGUUCAUCAUCACAUAUAACAACUCCGCAUCAGCCACUUUGAGUUCUUUUUCAGAGCUUGUUGGUGAGAUGUCAUAAUAUAUAUCUUGGUCAUUAGUUUAUAUUCCAGCUUAAAUUUCCCCAGUACAAAUUUCUUUUCUGCCCUAAACUCAUUUGGAUCAACAUAUAUAGCUCGGCUAUAAUCUUCUUCAGACAAGGAGAUAUAAUUUCCUCAGGGAUAUUGGACCUGAAUAUUACUGGGUCGGUUAUAUUGAAGGUAGGUGGAUAUUAUGUCAGGAGUUAUCUGAAUAUCUUUGCCCCUAACCUUACUUCUGAUUAUGUAUUGUGCAACAAUCUUCAUAUUUUUGUAAAACUCCACACAAACUUCCCAGUAAUACUCGUCUACCUUGUUAAAGAAAAUGUCUAAUCCCCAUUCUAACAGAAUGCGUAUAACUAUGGUAUCAUCAAUCUGUUCUCACAGCACCAGUCUUUUAUAAGUGACCCCCCUCUUUGCUACAGAGGCCUUCCAUUUUGCUAAUGAUUUCUUAGCCUGGGCCUUUCUAAAUUAGAUGUACUUAAGAUCCCCCCACUUAUAUAUCUUCCUUUGAUUUCUCACUCUUAGAUUCUGAUUCAUCCCCCAUUAUUUUCUGCCUUUUCCUUUUCCCGACACUCCCUCUUCGAGAAGUACCUUCACCACUUUUUUGACCUUUGCCUCUUUAAGCAUUUGUUUGAAUCUUCCCAUCAGAACAAUAAUGGCCAAUAAGACUAUGGCCAUCACAACACUCAACAUUGUGGAAGAAUAUCAUCAGAUUCAAUCAACAUUCGGGCCAUAUUUCGAGAGUUUUGUGUGGGUAGCCAAAAUUGGUAGAGAUAGGUGUGUGUUUUUGUAGAUAUGGAGUGUUUGGUAAGUGUGGAUGUGAUUGUGAAGCUUUUGUGAUGAAAAUCAAAGCAAAAACUCCCAAAAUAAUUGAAAUAGUUGAGAUUUAGGUUUACCUUCUUGAAAGCUUAAACAAUAGUGGAGAUGAAGAUCACCCUUUAGAGAGAGAGCGCUUUCCUUUGGACGAAUUUGAGUUUUCUAUGAGGAGAUUUGAGGUUGUUUUGGGGAGAUUAGAGAGAUUUUUUAGGUUAGAGAGAAAGGGACUGUUUUCUUAUGGGUAUAAUGGCUGAUUUAGGGCAUAGGUUAUGUUUUAAAGAGGCCCAGAUCUACGACCUUUUCAUGUUCCUGCAGUGUUUGACCAGUUGACAUAAUUCCCCGAUCUGUUGGGCUUAAAGGGUUUUCCAC